CCUGGAAUGUGGAUGUGAUAUCUGGCAUCCUAGCUGCCCUUUGAGACCUGAGGAUAAGGGUAACACCGUAAGGAUGGUGGAGCUGUGAGCCGGAAGAAGCCUUUGUCCCUGAAGACUUCACGAGCAAAUCUACUCUAGCAGCCCCUGGCUACCUACUUCUGUGCUUAUACACGAGAGAGAGAGAAACGACUAUCUUAUCUUCCUCAUCGCAGAAAAAGGAUGACUCUACCCUAUGUUGUGGAAUUAAAUGAGAUGAUACAAAUGAAAUGCCUUACCCAGUACCUGGCACAUAGAUCAGAUUUGACUGAGAUUAAGAAAGAAGAGAAGGGGCUUCCCUGGUGGCAGAGUGGUUGAGAAUCCGCCUGCCAAUGCAGGGGACACGGAUUCGAGCCCUGGUCCGGGAAGAUCCCACAUGCUGCGGAGCAGCUAAGCCCGUGCGCCACAACUACUGAGCCUGCGCUCUAGAUCCUGUGAGCCACAGCUACUGAAGGCCGCACGCCUGGAGCACGCGCUCUGCAACAAGAGAAGCCACCGCAAUGAGAAGCCCAUGCACUACAACGCUCACCGCAACUAGAGAAAACCUGCGCGCAGCAACAAAGACCCAACACA